UAGAGAGAUUGGGGUGAACUUGUGUUCAUCUAGAAUUUCAAAACAAUUCUCUAUUUCAGCUCAAAAUUAAGGAAUCUUGAAUGCAUGAAUAGUGAUUUUGAAUGAUCUUCAUCAUCUAAUCACAAGGCAAUUUGGGUGAAGAAUCAAGUGGACAAGCUGGGACGGACGUGCGAUUGAAAGGAAAGCUUUAAGGUGUUUGCCAUUAUGUUUUGGGAUGAAGAUCAAGCAUGUCGAAGAACCAAACACAUCCGAUGAUCAAGCUUCCGCGUUGCUUAAUCUUUCUACUUAACUAAACAUUGUAAAUGAGUAGAAAUGUUUAUUUUGAAUA